GAUGAACGCUGGCGGCGUGCCUAAUACAUGCAAGUCGAGCGAACGGACGAGAAGCUUGCUUCUCUGAUGUUAGCGGCGGACGGGUGAGUAACACGUGGAUAACCUACCUAUAAGACUGGGAUAACUUCGGGAAACCGGAGCUAAUACCGGAUAAUAUUUUGAACCGCAUGGUUCAAAAGUGAAAGACGGUCUUGCUGUCACUUAUAGAUGGAUCCGCGCUGCAUUAGCUAGUUGGUAAGGUAACGGCUUACCAAGGCAACGAUGCAUAGCCGACCUGAGAGGGUGAUCGGCCACACUGGAACUGAGACACGGUCCAGACUCCUACGGGAGGCAGCAGUAGGGAAUCUUCCGCAAUGGGCGAAAGCCUGACGGAGCAACGCCGCGUGAGUGAUGAAGGUCUUCGGAUAGUAAAACUCUGUUAUUAGGGAAGAACAUAUGUGUAAGUAACUGUGCACAUCUUGACGGUACCUAAUCAGAAAGCCACGGCUAACUACGU
rnacentral:rRNA from 1 species